UUACCCCCCAGAAUGGUCACAGGUAGCCAUUUCAGUUUAGACUAGACCACAAAGCUCCUCAGCCAGAGCUGCCAUGUUAGGCCAUCCACCAUCUGGUCUCUAAGGAAGACAGCUCAGUUCCCAGGAACCAGGGAAUAGAACAGCACACCUUCCACAACCACCCUUCUCUCCUGUGCACACUACCAGCUGAGAAAGAAGCCCCACAAUGAUUGUUGUCUUAUGGAUGAUUCUCAUUGCAGGAACGAUGUGGAAAGGAUAUAAAUAUCCCCCUGGAGGGACCCCUGUGGAAGAAAGCAAAGAUGAUCCUGGUGAAGUAAUGCAGCUCUGAAGCUCACCUGACCAGCUGUACAGCUCCUGUUGUUGGUUUCGCAUAAAAUAAGGUCUUCCUGUGUUGUCCAGGCUGGUGUCAAAUUCGUCAAAUCCUCCCACUUCAGCCUCCCCAAAGUCUGGAUUUUUUGAGGCAAAAGUCACCAUUUUCCUUGUUUGCUGGCAAAUUAAUAAACUCUUUCCUUCUCAAACCAUUUGUUCUCUUUCUGAUGCAGCCUCGAAGACAAGUGCCAAGCUUUUCGGUAACAAUUUACAAACUUCAAAAAGUUUGAAAAUAAGCAAUGUUGGUGAGGGUCAAAGAAAUAAGACACUAUGGUGGGAAUACAAAUUAACCUACUUGAAGACAAUUUGGCAAAAUAAUAUUAAAUAAAUUAAUAAAGCCUAAUGCUUUGUUGUAUUUUGUGCCAGGCACCCUUCUAAACAGUUUUCAUAUAUUAACUAAUUGAAUUUUCAUGGCAACUCUAUGAAAGAGGUACUGUUAGAUAGGGGGAGAUUGUGGCACAGAGUGAUUAAGUGACUUUUGCAAGUUCACUCAAUAAGUGCUAAACCAGCACUUGGCUCCAGGCUGUGUUCUUUUACAAUAUACUUUCAUCAAUCAAAUGUCUAAAAUGCAACUACUCGACUUACAAAGGAAUAUGUUUUACCAAAAUAUCCACACAGACAAUUGAACAAAGGUAUUCAUUGCAGCAUGGUUUGAAAAAGCAAAAAACUGAAAAUAACCUGAAUGUCCAUUAGUAGGAGACUAAUUAAAUAUAUUUUGGUAUAACCAUAAAGUGGAAAACUAUGCAGCCUAUACAAAGAAUGAGGAAGAUCUAUCUCUAAAGGGAUGGAGGCCAAGAACAUGAUCUAUUAUAGAAAACGUUGCCUGUGUGGAGGAGAGGGUUCACAAGAGGGAGCAAGGCUGGCUUCUUAACUGCAUUUGGUGCUGUUUGAAUGAAUGUUUUUACUUGUGCAUGCACUGUUGCUUUAAAACAAUUUUUUUUCUAGGUUUUAAAAAAGAUUAUGAUGGCCAACAGUUUUGUAGUGCUCUCCACUUUAUAAUGGGCUCUCACAUACAUGAAUUUCUUUGAUCCUCAGUCUUCAAGGAAAGCCAUACUCACCCCUGUCUGCAGAGUCAUUUUACAGACAUGAUGCUAUGUCAUAGAACUCCAUUUGGAAUGGACUCUAUGGAACAUCGGAGCUGCUGUGGUUAUGCUGCUUUUUUUUUUUUUUAAAUCAUUGUCAAAAGAAAAGAAGCCAAACUUUGCAACAUAAUUUAAAGAGGUUUGUUCUCAGCCAAAUUUGAGGACCAUGGCCUGAAGCCACGCCCAACAAGCCUUGAGCAAAUGGACUUGCUGUGGUUGGGUUACAGUUUGAUUUUAUACAUUUCAGGGAGACAGGAAUUACAGGUAAAGUCAUA